AAUGGACAAUGAAAUAAACUCUUUGGACCCGGGGGCGGUACCCGGCGCCUCCACCAAAAUAUAAAAAAAUUAUAUUUUGGUGGGGGCGAAAUAGGAUCGACAAGAGCGUAAAGAUUGCUUUUUUACUCGGCAUAGUACCACCGUUAUCGGACUAAAUAAGUAGUUGCAAAUGACAACUUUGAGGAAGCACGUCUCGCUGCUUAAUGCGGUGCGAAUGUUUCGACUUAAGCCUUAAAUCGUCGCAGAUUUAAG
rnacentral:tmRNA from 1 species